rnacentral:ncRNA from 1 species
CUUCAGGGCAGGGUGAAAUUCCCGAUCGGCGGUAAAGUCCGCGAGUGUUAUCACUGACUUGGUGAAAUUCCAAGACCGACAGUAUAGUCUGGAUGGAAGAAGAU